AUUGAACGCUGGCGGCAUGCCUUACACAUGCAAGUCGAACGGCAGCACGGGAGCAAUCCUGGUGGCGAGUGGCGAACGGGUGAGUAAAGUAUCGGAACGUGCCCAGUCGUGGGGGAUAACGUAGCGAAAGUUACGCUAAUACCGCAUACGAUCUAUGGAUGAAAGCGGGGGAUCGCAAGACCCUGCGCGAUUGGAGCGGCCGAUAUCAGAUUAGGUAGUUGGUGGGGUAAAGGCUCACCAAGCCGACGAUCUGUAGCUGGUCUGAGAGGACGACCAGCCACACUGGGACUGAGACACGGCCCAGACUCCUACGGGAGGCAGCAGUGGGGAAUUUUGGACAAUGGGCGAAAGCCUGAUCCAGCCAUGCCGCGUGCAGGAUGAAGGCCUUCGGGUUGUAAACUGCCUUUGUACGGAACGAAAAGGUUUGGGCUAAUAAGCUGAGCUCAUGACGGUACCGUAAGAAUAAGCACCGGCUAACUACGUGCCAGCAGCCGCCGCGG
rnacentral:rRNA from 1 species